rnacentral:lncRNA from 1 species
AUUCGUAUUGGAAAUAUUUAGAUGACGAUGUCAUUGGAAUGGAAAAAGCAUCAGAAUAUCAUUUGGUAGUGGCAGCACUCAUAGCAACAGUAACCUUUGCUGCGGCAUUCACCUUACCCGGUGGUUACAAGAGUGACACUGAAGACGGCCCAAACAGGGGCACUGCAAUUCUCAGUAAAAACGAUCCCAUUUCACGACAUUCACUAUAAAGGCCAUAGUCCUAAUACCCAAUACCAAAAAACACAGAAUAUUCAUGCAAUGCGCAUAGAACUUAAAUAACCUUCAGGGUUUAAAGAGAAAUUAGAACCUGCAAAUGACCACAGAACUAGAACUGAACUAAGAUGAAGAGAUCAAGUGAUGGGUGGGUUUAAAUAGAAAAAAAAAAGAAUAUUCUAGCAUCAGAUGAUGAUGUAAUGGGAUCGUUAUAUUGUAUAUAGCGUACUCUGGAUUCAAAUUUUAAUGAUGAAAAGUUUGACCUGUGUUUGUUCUUCACUGAGCUUGAGUCGGACAAAAUUGAUAUGUUCGAAACUCUCUGCAAACGCACUUUUAUGCUAUCUUAUACUUUCAUGUUGUCAUAUCACUCAAGUCCUGCAAAGUUUUUAACAUUUUAAUGUUUUAACAUUAAUUCACUUGCAAAAAUAUUAAGAUCUAAAGCCCCACAUGGAAAGUUGAUUUUUAAACUAAUUAAAUUUUACCCAUAAUUUCACAAAUAGUUAGUAUCAGAAUAUGAUUUCACAAUUAUUUAUUUAGGAUUCAAUUAUACGCAUUUCUUUUGCCGUGUAUAAAUAAAACAUUAUUGAUUCUGAUAUCAUAUAUGAAAUUAAAUUUUAAUAUAUUAAUUAAUAAAUUGUAUUGUCCAGCGCGUAGAUGUCAAAGCCAAGUCAAUUUUUCCUUCCCUUUUCUUUUUUUUUUAUUUUUUUCAUUCUUAAGCUUGUUUUCUUUUAGUUACAUUCAUAAUUUGGCAAAUAUGAUUGCAGAAAGAAAUCGAAAAAUUGUCCGAAGCUGAUGGGAGUGGAAACUAUCCAGACGGUGUCGUAAAAAUCAACAAAAACAAAAAGCGUGUGAUUUAUUCGUAUUGGAAAGAUAUAGAUGAAGAUGUCAUUGGAAUGAAAGACGCAUCAGAAUAUCAUUUGGUAGUGGCAGCACUCAUAGCAACAGUAACCUUUGCUGCGGCAUUCACCUUACCCGGUGGUUACAAGAGUGAUACUGAAGAUGGCCCAAACAGGGGCACUGCAAUUCUCAAUAAAAACGUAGCUUUCCAAACAUUCGUUAUAUCAGACACUAUAGCCAUGGUCCUCUCACUUUCUGCUGUUUUUGUCCAUUUCAUUCUGUCACUUAAGUUUUUUAAAAAACUCAUCUUUUUAUUCGUUUUUGCUCUUUGCUUCACCUUAGUUGCCAUGGCGGCAAUGAUAGUAGCAUUUGUUACGGGCACAUAUGCAAUGCUGGCAACACCUUCUUUGUGGCUUGCCAUUGUUACUUGUAUCAUUGGCUUGACCUUCUUCCUCUUGGUGAUUUUCAUGUUUUACAUGGUUAUUUCAAAAGCAGAGGAAAAGUUAUUGUAUACCUCUCUCUAGUACUAUAAUUAUGUUAGCAUCAUCCCACUGUUAUGAUCUGGAGUUAUAAGUUGUGAUUGAAAUUUGUUACACUAUCUUAUUUGGUGUAUUGCUUCAAGGUUGUAAAACGUACUAAGAGCUUGAAAGAAAUGAUAUCAUCUAUUUAUGAUGCAGGAUUAGUUGUUGCAUAAGCAUUCCAAAUUAAUUUUAAUCAGGGAUCUUCACCGGCGGAAUGAGUAUUAGUUAUUCGAAUGGGUAAUGUUUCUUCUUAGCCUAAUUAAGUGGAGAAACAAAUUUGAUAUUUCAAAUUGUGAAGAGCUUUUUUCUUUUGGAAAUUCUACCAUCAAAAUCAAUUAUAGAAUUCGAAAAAUAUUCUAGUUUUGCAAUGUCUACAGUCUACUUAUGAAUUGCAUAAAGGAUAGAGCUGCAGACCUGCAGUUAGACAUAAGUUGACAAAGUUCGUACGAACGUACAGCCAGAUUCCAACUGCUAAUUUACACUUGCAUCUAAAUUUAAAAAUCAGCUAAUUACAAACCUGAUAACCAGCUGCUAACAGUUUCCACUUUCAAGAGCUUGAGAAGGUCAACUGAAAAUUGCAAGUAUUCAAAUGGUGAUAAAAAAGAGAUUCUUUUGAUAUGUUAUCCAGGUGCAAAAAUAAAAAAUGUCGCUUGAUGAUGAAGUAAAAGAACUAAAACCGCCGCAACAAACUGUGGCGGCCACACUCGUAGCAACAGUUACCUUAGCUGCGGGGUUCAUAUUACCCGGUAGUUACUGGGCUCAAGAAGGCCCAAUUCCCAGCACUCCAAUUCUCAGAAAAAAUGCAGCUUUUCAAGCAUUUGUUCUAGCUAAUGCCAUGGCCAUGGUCCUCUCCCUUUCAGCUGUCUUUUAUCCAUUUCCUUACUUCAACUAAGACCCUUCGGCAAAUGACGUUUCUUGUCAAUGUGGCUCAUUGUUUCAUCCCGGCUUCCAUGUUAGCAAUGACGGUUGCAUUUGUUACAGGAACAUCCCCAGUGUUGGCACCUUCUGUUGGGCUUUCCGUUGCUACUUGUGCCUUGGCUUGACCUUCAUCCUCUUUGUGCUUUUCGCCAUGUUCAAGUUUGCUUAUGGAUUGGCGCAAAGGUUGCUGGUGAGCUUCAUCCUCUUUGUGCUUUUCGCCAUGUUCAAGUUUGCUUAUGGAUUGGCGCAAAGGUUGCUGGGCUUCAUGAUAUAAUUAGAAAAAAAAAAAUCUCCAUGUUGGAGAAAUUAGCAUGUUUCUGUCUCUGUUUCUAGUAGUUAAUAUGUAAUUUCCAUCUCUUCAAUCUUUAUUCUCAGUGUUAUAUAUUAUGUGUAUACACCACUACAACUGAGAUUGUACCUAAUCCUCUUUUGUGUUGAGCUAUUAUCAUCAAAAGAGGAUUAAGUACAAAUACAAGGUCAACAUGAAAUUGAAAGUAGCAUAUUAGCAUUUCAACAUUAGUAAUUAAUUAAAAUACUUUUUAUAUUGUAUUGGUGAAAACUCUGUAAUAUAAGGGUAAUAUAAUCAAUUUUAUCAAGUGUUAAUGUGUUAGGAGCUUAUUUACAAAUAGAUAAUAAUUUCUAAAAGAUAUGCAGUGAGUCUAGUUUUAGUACUCUAUUCUCAUAAACUUUUCCUUCUCUGAUUCCACCUUUUUGAAUUCUUGAACUUGGGCUGGCUUAUGGUAUCGAAACUGAAUAAACUUACUAACAUAGACUCAAUUGCAAGUCUCAAAUCAUUUCUUUUUCUAAUUUGUAUAACCAAAAUUUUGUAAAAAAUAAAGCUUAUAUAAAAUAAUCAUACGUUUUCAUUGCAUCUUGAUACAAAUUGUUUCUUAACAGAAUGAUUGAGAAAAUAUAUAAGAGACAAUAAUGAAAUUUUCAAUUUUCAAAUUAGGGAAUUGCAAAUUGCAAUGCUGAGACAGCAAAAUAGCUUAGGUAAAUCAAUAUGCAACAAAACAAAAGAUAAUAUCCAUCAUUUCUAUUUCUAAUAUACUGAGAAACUAGCCUUCUAGGCUUAUAUAAUCGUAGCAGCUACAUAUUCAUAAGAUAUUUUUAAAAAAUAAUAAUAAUUUAUAUAAACAUCCUGUUGCUUAUACUGCAAGCAAAUGCAAGUCCAUUCACUACACCUGCAUAAUAUGUACAAGCAUUUACAAGUUAAUAUCAUCAGUUCCAUCCCGACCAGAUAAUGAAACUGGUCCAAGUGAUUCACCUUCUACUCUACCAAAUACCAAAUAUUUCUUUUUUAGAUUUCUCCCUUCGUCAAUCCAUUGCACUGCAGUCACCAAGAACUGGACCACUAAGCCAUUCCCUAUCUUUGCUUCUUGUUCAUUUGGGAAGAAUGGUUGUUCCCUAGGUUAACAUAGCAUACUUCACAGGACCACACCGCAAUAUGAAUAACUCCAUGCAAGAUUUCUCCCUUGACAGGCAAGAAAGUGCGACACAGAAAUGUUACAGGGAAGAACACAACCCUUGACUCAUUCACAGUUCCUCGCUCUCUGUCGAUGCUCUUCAAGUUAGUUAUUGAAAGAAAGUAACAGUGAUCCUUGCAAGCCUUCUCAUUUAUCAAGCCCUUCAACAGGCGUGUUACAAAUAUCACUGAAGAACCUGCAACUCGUUUCUAUCCAAACUUUUAGCAGGCACUGAUACAUCCUGAGCAAUUCCACUUCGAAAGACAUUUCUCCUCUACAUCAAAACAACUAAAAUAAGUAGGACUAUUAUAGAUUAACCAACCAGAAUUCUUCCAGAUUCUAUGCAUAUCAAUGCUGUUAAGAAAUCUAAUAGAAAAGAUGAACAAUAAUACAAUGAUGCUGAUACCAGUGUAUGCAUCCCCAAUUGCGCCAUGACCUGGAGGUUAAUUUUAAAGCUAAUCAAGAUUUUAAACUUAGUAUCGUAUCCAUAAUACAAUCCACAAAAAUCGAAGAACAAACCAAUAAAAAGGUUGUACCAAAAAGAGAUAAAUAACUAAAGGAUCAUUUUCAGUUACAUUGCGAAUGCUAUACAUUUUGAACAGAAUAAUUUAUUCCUAUCAACACAUCAGUGUUUCUUAUCAUUACACACAUCAGUAAUCUAUUUGGUUGUAUACAUACCUUCUCUUGCGUAUUGACUCAUGUUAGAUAUCUGAAGUAAUUUAUGCUAGCUAGCUCUUCAGUAACACCAAAAACAGCCAAAAGUACCAGCACUCUCUGCAGCUAACAUGAAAAAGAACUCAACAUUACCAACAAAAAAUUUCAAAAUUUGGAGGAAUGUAAACAAGUAUCAUAACCAUUUCUAAAGAUCCUAUUUCACAACAUUCACUAUAAAGGCCUACACAAUAUAGCAAGUGACUAGGAAUAAAUAAGAAUAUAGAACUCUCUCUCUAAUUCUCACUCUAGCUUUUAAUUGUCACUCAAAACCCCGAAUUUAUCCUUAAAAGUGUAAGCAAAUCAGAGAUGACAGCGUCUGGUUGUCAUACGCGCCUUUUAGUUUCCGGAUGACAUGGCGUACACUUCUUAUGUAAACCCAACACGACAUGUCGUACUCUUUGUUUUGAGAUCAUAUUUCAAACUCUUCAUGUUAUGAAUGAAACAUAAACUACAAUCAUCAAAACAUUUAGUGUUUAUUUGGUAAUGUAACGUCACGAUUGUUGUGAAUUGAAAUUAUUUCUGUAAAAUAAAAGGAUUUGGGUCAUUGUUUGUUAUUUUCUGGUAUUAUUUAUUAUAUAUUAAAAAUAAAUUUAUAUUUAUUAAGUAUAAAAAAUAAAUAAACAAAUAGAAAUAAAAGGAAAAGUUUAUACAUUACGUAAAAUAAUAAGAACAAUAUCAAUAUUUCACACUCUAUAAUUGAGUGAUGUGUUGUCCAACUGCCAUACAUUGGUCCCAAACGGAGACUUAAAUAUCAAAGUCCACAGUUAUUGUGAUGAUGAUUUAUAAUCGUUAAACUUGACAUUAUAAGGUAAUCAUGCAUUAUAAGGUGUUGAUUUCUUCCGGAACCUUAUUUUUCAUUUACAAAUAAAUAAAUGAUGUGACUUUCACAGAAUAUUCAUGCAAAAAACAAAAAACAAAAUAUCAUAACUGAAUUUCAAAUUGUCAAUGUUCUAUAAUAUAAAACAAAAAAUUUGUUUUUAAAAAAAAAAGAAAAAGAAAAAGAAAAGACCUCUGUUACAUGAAAAAGAAAUUUCCAUUCUAUAGAACGAAUAUUAUACUUUUAUAUUAGAAUAGAAGGACACUUUUCCUUGGUGCUACUCCAUGUAGUUCUUAAAAUUCGUACUUUAAUUAAUGUCAGUAAGUAAUAUAGGAUUUUUACAUGUAAUAGUUUUGUAAGUUUAGGAGUAAAACUUGGUCACAAUAGGACUGGACAAGUCUUGUGUUAAUAUUUUACUCUUUUUUAUUUUACUUUUAAAAGAUUUUCCAAUGCAUAUUAUAAUAUCUUCAAAAUAUUUUGAUUUCUAUUUUCUUUUCAGUUAAGAAGCUGAUAAUAUUUAUAUAUCUAAUUUCUCUGUUUUUAUAAUUUUAUUUUUUUAUUCAUUUUUUAUAAUCCAAAUACUAUUACCUUAGAUAUUUUUCCCCGCCACAGAUAACGUAGCCAUGCCAAAAUAGUCUUGAGAAAUAUGUCAGCGUCUAAUUGCUGCUGAGCUUCCGAAACCCAAAGCCUCAAAUUCGUAGCCUCAAAACAGUGGCAAUUCGAUGCCUGCUUUUUCACUAAAUUUAGUUUUUGCGCAGAAGAUCUUUAGCUAAUUAAUGAUAUGGCUCGAGUCCCUAGUCGCCAGUUCUGCCCAGCAACAGCCAUAUUCGAUUCGUUUCAAUCAUCCUUUUCAAAGUUCCACGGUACCCAUUUUCAUUUCUUCAGGUGCGGUUACACAAUUCCUCUUAAAAAUAAUUUCUUUUAUAAAAAUUCUUCUUCAAACUCUGCCCAUGAAAAAAACCCGCCAAGAAAAAUUUGUUCUUUAUCCAGGAAUAAAUUUUUUUUUUCUCAACAUGAUAAAGAUGAGAAUGCCAACUUAUGUUCUAGCAGCAGUUGGUUAGAUAAAUGGAACAAACCCAAUAAGUAUAACCGCCUGAAACCGCCUCAGGCACGCGUGAAUUAUAGAAAAAAUAAUGGUAAUGGUGUUGGUGGCGUUGAUGAUGGUGGUAGUACCAUGGGGAAAAUUGUGGAGAAACUGAAUAAAUUUGGUUACGUUGGUGACGGUGAUGGUGAGUGCAAGGAAAAGAGAGAGUGAUUGAAAAAGGGUCUAGAGAGGAUAUAUUUUGUUUGGAAAAAGGAUUGUUGCCGAAUGCAGGAGGGUGGUUUUCAAAAGAAUCCCCGUUGGGGUUAGGAGAGGAGGUAGGGAGUGACGGAGAAGUGAAGUUUCCAUGGGAGAAGCGGAAGGGAAGAUUUAUGUUACAAAUUUGUUUAAAAAUGUAUAUAUUGAUGCAUUCACUGCAUUUCUUUUUAACUUAAUUUCAAUUGAUCGUAUAUUACGUUGCAUUACGAUCCAAAUUGCUUCUUCAGAAAAUUAGUGAGAAAUUAUGAAAGAAAAAAUAAUUUAAUUUGCUUUCCAAUUCUAUUUUUUUCCCCAAAAUCAAGGCAAAUUAUGUGAGGCUCAAAAUAUUAUUUGUUUUGCCGUGAAAUUUAGAAACAAAAAAAAUACCUGGACAGAUACCGAGCACCCCACGCCUCAUUCACAGUGCGCAGGAAGAAGUUUGACUGCUGGGAAUACGAGAGGUAUGGAAUUGACCCUUGGCCGAUAUCCUUCAAGUUGGUCACUGCAAGAAAGAAAAUUUUUAGAAGGGAGUGCUAAAAUCUGAUUAUGAAUUGUUUAUAUGUCAUUUUUACCCUCUUUGAUUUUUCCUAAUCCCAAAAUAACCUUGCGUCAAUAUUUAAAUUUAAUUACCUUAUUAACUAUGAAAUAUUUAUUUGAAUUUUAGAAGACAUCUGUUGUACUAUGUCAGUCAUGCAAGUAUUAAAAUAAUAUCAUGAUAUGUGUGUAUUUAUUUUGUAAAUCAUCAUAUAAGUGAUGGUUGUAUUAAAUUCAAUUACACAUGUCAUGCAUGCAUCAAUUAAUUAUAAUACAACGGAUGUAUUCUAAAAAUUUUCCCCAAGAAGAAAGAGAAAGGGUGUCAACGGAGUUCGUGCAACGGAUACUCGAAAUGUGUCCAUCAUUGCUACUAUAAGUUAAUGACAAAGGUGAUUAAUAUUUUGUGAUAUUUAAUUACAAAAUAUUAAAUAAAUAUUAUAAUCUAUCAUUCCAUAAUUGGAAAAUUCUAUGAUGCCGUAAUUAAAUUUACGGCAUUGAUGCCGUAAUAGACGUGGACCGUUAGAUUAAAUCAACGACUCUAAAUAAUUAUAAUUUAAUAAAAAAAAUUAAUUAAAUUACAUAUAACCGGUUACAAGUCGGUUAAAUAUUAUUUUAAAAGUAAAAUUUUACCGGUUUAAAAUUAAAGAAAGGGGGUUUGCCUAUUACAAGAAUAAUAUAAUAUAAUGGGAAAAUUCAAUCCCUAAUCAAUGAAUUGCAAACGAAAGCCACACCCACCCCUGCGUAAACUUCCGUUCGAGUGCGCCGGUAGAUUGUAGCCAUCCUUGAGCCAAUUUUCUGCCUUCCAACUGCUGCGUCUCUGUUGUUGCUGUCUCUGUCCUGGUUUGUUCAUCAUCACUUGUGCAAGGUAAGUUAAUCCUUGGCUUCCAACUUUGAAGAGUCGAAGGUUUCAUGUUAUGCUAAGCAAUUUAGUUCCAGAUCUCUCAUUCAAUUUUAUAUUAUCUGAUAUAAUAUUCCUUCUGUGCACAAUUUUGCAUCUUUACUCUGUUUUCGUCCUCGGGCAUGAUGUGUGAGAGAGAGAGAGGAGCACAGAAACUAUAGAAUGAAUUUUCUGUUUUUUCAUCAUCUCUCUCUCCUCUUCUUUUAACUCUCAAUGCCCGCAGAAUUAAGCCAACAUCAAUAAUCAUGUCCUCUUUCCACAUGGCAUCUGAACAUAUGACCCUAUAAUGAUCAAUUUUAGGAUGUGGAUGUGCACGGCAGAUUUUUUCCACUUGCUUCACUCUGUUGUAUUUUAUGAACACUUGGUGUAUGACACAAAGUUGAGACCCUUUUUCUCCAAUGAUUGAUCUGAAUUGAUUUUUUUGAAAAUCAGAUGGAAUUCUUACACAAGAUGGAGAAAAUAGUAGCUUCAAAGAUUUAGAAAUUAGAAAAUUGACACCAAGGUGAAAAAAAUUAUUUAAGCUUUAUUAUUAGAAAUUUAUUUACAUUACAGCUGUAUACAUGGGAUUGAAUGGAAAGAGCCGCAUACAAAAUUGAAGAGACUGCUUUUGACUGUCUCACAAAUUAAUAUUUGCUUCAACUUGGGAGAAAAUAAUGACCAGUUAAUGAAUCAACAAGAUGAUCAAUUGUGGCAAGAAUGUAGAAGCCGCUGCCAUUUUAUGAACAAUUCAAAGUUGAAGUUAAGCUGACGAAGUAUUCUUCACUGCAUGGAAUUGUCAGACCGCCCAUCGGAUGAUCAAAUCCAAAUUCUUCUUCAGCCAUAUUUAGGAGGUCUUGGAAUAGAGGGUGAUUCAAAUAUGAUAUUGGAAUUACAAACCUCUUUCUAUAGCCUUCUCCAACAUAAAUUGCAAUGUGGCCUUUUGGCACAUUAUUUGUAUUGUUAGCCACAGCCAUUCUGAUCUUUGCUGAUAAAGUUCUCUGAAUCUUUUGUUUAGCAUGAGCGAAACCCAUCAAUUGGAUGCCCAUUUUAGCAAUGAAAGAAAGAAUGCUAUUGAUGAAGUAAAAGAAAAGUUUAUUUGGUUUGAAAUGGCAUCUUUAAUUAAUAUAAAAUAUUUAUAGGCAGAUAUGUGAAAACAAAAACAACCUUAACUGGAUAGGAAUGGGACAAUGAGAGGUCGUUGAAGAAUCAUGAGAAAAACAUAACAGGUGAAAGAAUUGGUUAUGUUUCACAUGGUAUUGCCAUGUCUAUGGUUAAGCAUUGUGCCCACCACAUAGAGAAACAAAAAAGAUAGGGAUGCAAUUUGUGUUUUUGCAUGAGAAUAUAUAUUUUCCUGUGUUAAUUUGAACUAAUUCUAUGGCUCUAUUUCGAAUACAUUUUAGUUUAUUCAUAGAAGCAUUGAAUUUAGCUGACUACGUGUGUUAUUUAAAUCGUGGGCCUUUUUUUUGGGUGUUAACUAGCCAACCAGCCAUUUCUUUGGGUCCCUACCAUUUGCCUAAACUGAUUUAAUUUGUCCGAACUUGCAUUUAUUGGCUGCUUUAUAUCAGCGAAACAUGAUUCUUCUUAGGGAAAAUUCUAUGAUGCCGUAAUUAAAUUUACGGCAUUGAUGCCGUAAUAGACGUGGACCGUUAGAUUAAAUUUUUAUGGUGUUUUGGGCUUCAUUUGUUGCUGUUUUUAGCUUAAAUUUUUUACUGUUUCUGGGUAAAUUGGCUGCUGUAUUUCAAUUUAUUUUUCUGUUGUUUUUAGAUAAAUUUACUGCUAUUUUUGGGUUAUAUUUUCUGCUGUUUCCAGGGAAGUAUUUUUGGUGUUUUGGGCUUCAUUUGGUGCUGUUUUUAGGUUAAAUAUUUUACUGUUUCUGGGUAAAUAUACUGCUGUUUUUGGAUAAAUUUACUGCUGUAUUUGGGAUGAUUGGCUGCCGUUUUUGGUUAAUUUUUUUGGUGUUUUGGGCUUCAUUUGCUACUGUUAUUAUGUUAAAGUUUCUGCUAUUUCUGGAUAAAUUGGCUGCUGUUUUUCAGUUAAAUUGUCUGCUGUUUUUGGAUAAAUUUAUUGCUGUUUUUGGGUUAAAUGUUCUGUUGGUUUAUAGGAUCCAAAACUUGUGAUAUUUGACAUUUCUUUUUGUGCCUAAAUCUUCAUGUACAGGUUUUUGUAAACUCGAAAAUGGCUGAAAAUGUAGAUGAGGGUAACGAGAAUGAUUUCAAGGAGAAUGAUAAUGUGAGCCAAGAAAGUGAAAUUUUAAGAAGAAAUCGGCCUUUCAUUGAGUAUUUGUAAGUCUUCUUACAUUAAAUAUUAUAUUUUUGACUGCUGGUAAAUUUAUGAAUAUUUAGUAAAGCCAAUCACUAUAAUGUUAACGUGCACUGAUUAUAUAUAUUUUUUCAAAAUAUUUAUAAUUGACUGCAGCAAGCAAGAAGCAAAAAUAUUACGGGAACAAGGAAAAAAAGUGGUGAGUGUAGGUGCGAUAAUUAAUUUCCAUUAAAUUUGGGACGUGUUACAAGCAAUAACUGAUUGUCAUUUUUUUUUAAUUUUUUAGGAUAGAAUUAAAUUAGGGAAAUGUUUCAAAAACUUGAGUGAAGAAGAGAAGGCUAAAUUUAGAAUGGUUGGUAGUGAUACAGCACGGAAUAAAGACAAAGAAGAUGAUUUCGUGAAGGGAACUCAGAAAGCCAUGGAAACUAGAUGCGCUCCAGAUCGUUUUGCAAAACUGGUAGGAAAAUUGUCAGAAAAUAAAAAAAAAGCUAUUGCGGAGUUGGGAUUUGAAAGUCUUCUGCACAUAAAAUGUGGUCGACUGAAACGAGAUUUAUGUUCAUGGUUGGUUCAAAAUUUUGAUCCAUUUACUUCAUGUAUUUUUUUGCAUGGUAAGAGUAUCAAUUUGUCGCCUCGAGAUUUUGAGUACAUUAUGGGAAUAAAAGAUGGUGGAGUCGACAUUGAUGUGGAUCUUGGUAUUGAUAACAUAGAUAAAUUGAGGGAUGAAUAUUUGGAUGACAGUGGAUACAUUAAGCUGAAAACUUUAGAGUCAAAAUUGGUGAAUCAAAGGGAGGUGAAUGAUGACUUUAAAAGAAGCUUUGUUUUGUUUGCUAUAGCUACAAUUAUUUUUCCUAAAUCGGGGUUGAAUUUAGCCCCGUAUUACUUGGUUUUUUUGAAAGACACCAGUGCCAUAAAUAAAAAAAAUUGGGCAACGUGGGCUUUUAAAGGGCUAGUAGAGGGCAUACAAAAGUUUAAGGCAGGACAACAUAAAGUUGUUAAUGGUUGUGUACUAUUUUUAGAGGUAAUUUUUUUUAAAAUGAUUUCAUCAAUUUUAUUGUGUUAUUUUUUUUUUUACUUUGUUUUGAUCAUUUUGUUAAUAUUGCAGCUUUUUUACAUGGAUUCUAUAUCAUUUGCACGAAAAUUUAUUGAUAAAUCUUUGAGUCCAAUAACUACAUGGACAAAUCGAGAUGUAACUAACUUCUUGAGUUUUGUUAAGAAAAAUGGCGGUUAUGGGAGCUCAAAGGUAUGACAUCUUUUUAUUAAUUAAAUAUUAAUGUAUCAUAUUGAAAUGACAUCUAUACAUCUUUUUAUUAAUUAAAUAUUAAUGUAUCAUAUUGAAAUGACAUGUAUUUAAUAGUAUGUGGUAUUAUUAGGUUAAUUUGCGAGAAAUCCAUCCUCAACAAAACACAGCCCAAGAAACAUUUGAUGGAACGAGUCGGAAGAAUGAAGAAUGCAUACAUAAUUGUCAACAUCAGAAGGAAUUAUCACUUGUUCGAAAAGAUAUUGGCCGUAUGGCAUUGGAGCUUGAUGGUUUAAAGCAUUCAAUGGGUAACUGGAUGCAGCAAAUGCAACAAGUAAUGGAAACCCUUAAAGAGAACUUAACCCAAAAGCAAGUUGAGCAGCAAAAAGAGAAUAAUGGCACUGCUGUUGGAAUUACUUCUCCUUCUCGAAAGCAACAAAAGAACGACGAAUCAAGCCAUGAAAUUUUAACUUUUGCCGAACUAAUGAAGAGAGCCAAAGAAAGGCCAGAUGGAGAUGAUAUUGUUGAGAAAAAAUUAUUGGAUGAGGAGAUUGUUGAAGAGAAAUAUGAUGAAAGAAUUUUGACGGGUGAGUCAGACCUAAAUGAGGGGAAGCGUACGCAAAUUUUCUGCAAUGCAGCUAUACAGGUAUUUAGCAAUAAAUUAUGAUAUUCUUUUUUGCACAAGUAAAACAUAAUAGUGCAUAGAUGAGUAUUAAGUUAUAAAUCAUAAUUUUUGUAGGAUAAUGGCCGAAAUGAGGAUUGUUUUGUUGAAGAGGAAUCAUCAAACCAACUUAGCGUAUUUGAGAUUAAAGAUAUGCGCUCCCGAAAGCGAAAGCCUGGUCCAUACCAAAAAUCACCUUAUAAUCAGUUUCCCAAAAGACGAAGCAAACAAAAAUUUUUUCAUGACUCAAUCACUCUACUAAAUUCAUUUUCAGAGGAAGAUAUGAAGAUGCUGCAAUAUAUAUUUCAAGGAGAAUUGCCUAUGGAGUAAUUAGAUUUUCUCAUGACCCACUUUCCAUAUGUUAUUAUUUUUGCAUUAACACUGUUAUAGUUUUAAUUAUAUUUUUGGAUUCUUAAUGUAGUGAGCAUAUUGUUGAUGGAAUUAGUUUUUUCGUCUCUCGCCAAGAGAUGUUUUCUUUGGCUCCUAAUACUUGGAUCAUUGAUACAGUAAGCAUACCUUCCUUAUAUUUAGUUUAAUCAUUCAAUUUAUUUAUUUUCUUUCUAAAGUAUUUAAGUCUUCUUGUUUAAUGGCUCUAUUCGUAGGUCAUAGAUUGUUUCGUCAACUACUUGACAAACAAAGAACGUGCAAAAACGAGCCUAGAGAUGCGUAUUUGGUAUUUGCCCACCAUCUUUUCGGUAAGUUGUAAAUGUUAUACUGUGAAUUUUUUUACUAACAGUUGACCAUAUAUGUUGAUAAUAUACUAAUUUUGUGUUUAUUUUAUGAUUUUUGCAGCAAAAAAUAGUUGCAAACAUGGCCUGCAAUAAGAAAUCAAGCAUCGAAGACUUUGUCAAAAAUCAUAAUAUUCGAGAUAAAUACAUGUCAGAACUAGCAGUAUGUGAAAAGGUAAGAAAUUAAAUGCAAAAUUACAAUAAAUCAUGCCACUGUUUAAGACAUUUAAUGGUAAUUAUUAAAAAUUAUGCAUUUGUCAUGUAGAUCUAUGUUCCUAUAAAUGAUGGCUCUGCACAUUGGUAUCUAGCGGUGUUGAUUGUUAAAACGCAAACCGUUGAAAUUUGGGACUCUUUACCUAGUACUACUUCGAAUUCACAUCGAGAGGAAAUUGUUAGAGCAAUUGUAAGUGAAGCUUGCAUUUCACCUGUAUUAUUACCAAUAAAUGCAAAUGUAUGCUGACUAUUAUCAUCAUUAUCACAGUUACAGGGACUCGAUGAAGUUUUCCUCGAUGAUUUUUUGGGAAAAUUUCAUUCAUGUUGGGAUUUUUUUAGUUUUAAAAUUUCAUAUCCAGAUAAUGUCCCAGUACAACCAAAUGGAACUGACUGCGGUUUGUUUGUGAUCAAGUUCAUGGAGAUGCAAUGUGAUCUAUUAUCUAUAAAACAUGUAUGUGACAUUAAUUUUAUAUCAUAUUGAUUUAAAGUUUUACAAUGAAUGAUGACUCUGUUUCUCACUUUUUUAUUUUUUCUCGUACUAUAUUUAGUAUAACUCAACAAUAGAAAGAUAUCGCAUUGCACUCCACCUUGUCAACGGAGAUACAAAUAAAGUGAGAGAUAGUAUUAGAUGUAAGGCUGAAGAAUUUUAUGAUUCGCACAAGAAUAAUCUUCCACCGAACAAAGUGACGAACAAAGUUAAUGGUCAAAAGAAUUUGAAGAAGAAAAAGUAGAGUCCAAAAGCUUGCAGCAUGUUAAAAGUAGGUUCUCUUUAACUAUUUCUUUCUUGCUUUUUUUUGCUCCUAUUACAUUUCAUGAUUUGUAUUAGUUAUUUAUUAGUUAUUGCAAUUAUAAUUAUUGUUUCACAUAAAAUUAAUUAGAAACAAUUCCCAAUUUGCAAUUGCGUACCGAGUAUAAGCAUAAUGUGGACUGGAAAUAAUCAAUGUUUUACUGCAAGUUUUCCUUUAUUCUCCAGGUGGCUCACAAUUUCCUCUUCAGUAACAUCUUGUGGGAAGGUGGAUCAUCUUUGUUGGGGAGCAGUAGUAACGAUAGUUCUUUGUUUUACUACCAUUCUAUAAAUUUUAUUUGAAAUUAGCAUUAUUCUUGGUUAUUUAUUUUUAUAAUGAUUCUAAUAUCUUGUUGACUAUUUUUUUAAGAUUUUCUUUUGGAAUUUUUUAGGAUCUGCUAUUGAUUAUUGUGUAAAUUCGAGAUGUGAUUAAAGUUUGAGUAUCAGUGCGUUUUGCUUUGCCCUUUUUCUUUUAAUUGCAGUUGUACCGUCUGUGAGCUUUGCCUUUAUUUGCUUUCAACCACAACACUCCAAUUUUUAUGUAUUAUUUUUUUUUUAUCAUUGUUUGACUCCAAACGAAAUACUCAAGUUAAUGAGCAUAGUUUAUAUUCAUGUUGUUACAGCAACAAAUGAAAUAAAUAUAAUUUUUAACACAAAUAUACCAUAAUAAUUUUACCAUUGACGGAUACAAGCAUAAAUAAUUAAAACAUAUGGUUUCAUUAAAAAAAAUCAAUUGUAAUCACCAUCUCAAUUGUAAUCAUUUUACCAUUGACGGACACAACAAAUUUUCAGUAUCCUGCCUCAUGGUCAAUACUUAUCAUUGUUGUAUAAAAUUGAAUGUGUUAUGAUACUGUGAGCUGUGAGCUGUGAGCUGCCAUCAUCAUUGUCCAAAACUCCAAAAGCUUUUACUACCAUCACUGCCUAAAUUGAAAAACAAGAAGCAAGCAAGGCCUAGUCAAUAAUAAAAAAUAGUUGAGGUUUUACGCAACCAUCAUGACUGUCCAAACUUGCUGCGAUAGCAUGAUAAUAAUCUAAUUAUUUAGAAAAAUAAAAUUGCAAGCAUAAUAGUAACCUAGCUAGAAAAAUAAGACCUAAUAUAAACAAGAUUUCAAACAUUAACCGAGUUAUUUUCAGAACAUUAUCUCAAAUCUAACUCCUACGCACAUGAACACGACACAUUAAUUUGCAACAAAUAAUUUUCAGAACAUUAUAAGAGAAACUAGAGGCAAAACGGGAAAAAAAUUAUAAUUUUAAAAUUACAACCAUAGUAGUAAUCGAUUUAUUUAGGGACAUUGUUAAUAUUUUGACACUGACAAUAAUACUCAACAUGCAAAACAUAAUUAAGGCUGACUUUAUACUUCUGGGGCUGGAUGAGUAUUAUUAAAAUAAAUGGGGUCAUUUGUAAUAUUUUGACUUAAUGGGGACUAAUUUGAAAUUAGCCGUAUUAAAACUUUUGCAACUUGUCUAGAAACGACAGAAUUUAAAUACUUAAUGGGGACUAGUUUGAAAUUUGCCAUAUUAACAACUUUUGCAACUUGUCCAGAAUACGUCUUUUCAUAAUUCAAUAGUUUCAUUCAAAUUGAAAGACUUAAUGGGUACUAAUUUGAAAUUAGCCAUAAUAAAAACUAUUGCAACUUGUCCAGAAUAAGUUGUGAAACGACAGAAUUCAAUAGUUCCAUUCAAUCCUACAAUUUCCUUGCCCAGUUUUUUCUAACGACCACAUAGAACACAAUGAAUGAUGAUCAACAAGGUAAUUCUUCAUUGUCUUUUAAUGAUUUGUUACUGUUGCUAUUAUUUUUUAUGUUAUUUUCUCUCUUGCUAAAAAGAGUAGUGUUGUUUAACCUUUUAAAAUUAAUAUUAAUUGUGUCUAUUAUAAUUUACAGGCUAUUGUCUAGCAGUGCCAUUUAACUUAAUGUAAUAUUUUCUUAUUGUAUUAUGACAGGCAAUAACAAAAAUUACAAAGUGCCAGAGCUUGAUGUUCCAUCAUCAUACGAUAUUCCUUCAACCGCUCAAGCAGAAAUACAAUCAGGUUUUUUAGUUGUUCAUAACAAAACAAUUGAACCAAGUUAUUUUUGUAAUAUUUUGAAUAACAGUAUCAGUUUAUUUUAGUUGUUGAUAAUAAAAUAAUAGAAUUAGACUAUUUUAGCUGUCAAUAAUAAAAUAAUAGUAUCAAUUGAAGUUUGCUACUCAUGAUAAAAAAAUAAUUAUUCAUACUCUAUUAUGACAGGGAGGGAUGGUUCAAACUCUAUUUAUUGGGAUGAUAAAAGCAUGUAUGAACUCACUGCUGAAGAUGUUAUUGGAAAGCGAUUUGCAUCACUUGAAGAAGCUACAGAUUUUUAUAAAAAAUACUCAAAAAUAAUGGGUUUUAGUGUUCGCAUUUAUGAUGGGAGACGUGAUACAAAUGGUGCACCCAUAAUGAAACAUUGGGUUUGCAGUAGAGAAGGUGAAAGGGAUAAAAAGUAUAUUGAGCAUACAAACAGAAUCCGUGAACCUAAAGCUAUUACAAGAGUCAACUGUCGAGCAGCAUUCAGGGUAAAUUUAGAUAAGGAGUCCAAAACUUGGGUUGCUAGAAGCUUUGUUCCGAAACACUCUCAUGAGUUGGCAGCAGAUUUUGAGACUCAAUUUCUUCGAUCUCAUCGAAUGGUUAAAGAUUCUGACAAUGCUCUAGCUAAUUCAAUGCAAACAGUUGGUAUAAAGACAAGUCAGAUUAUGGACUUCUUUGUCAACCAGGCUGGGGGUUAUGACAAUUUGGGCUUCGGAUUAAAGGAUUUAUAUAACAAUUUAGAUAAUAAACGUCGAUCCAUGAUACUCGAAACAGACUCAGAAGCUGCACUUGCAUACUUAAAUGCAAAAGCUGACAUGGAUCCAGAUUUCUUUUGUAAGUACUCUAUAGAUGAGGAGAAUAGACUUGCAAACUUAUUCUGGGCAGAUUCUAUUGCUCGCUUGGAUUAUAGUUACUUCGGCGAUGUUUUGGCUUUUGAUAGUACUUACAAGACAAAUGAGUAUGGGAAGCCUUUAGUUAUUCUAUUGGGUGUUAAUAAUCAUUAUGCAACAAGUUUUUUUGGCUGUGCAAUUCUCACGGAUGAGACGGUUGAGACCUACACAUGGGUGCUUAAAACAUUUUUAUGUGCUAUGAAUAAUAGAAAGCCUAUAUCUAUUGUGACCGAUGGAGAUAGAGCGAUGCGUAAAGCAAUUAAAAAGGUAGUUCCUGAAGCUCGGCAUCGACUGUGUAUUUGGCAUCUACAAAGAAAUGCACAAUCUAAUGUACAUAAAACGCCUGAAUUUGUUACAAGGUUUAAGGAUUUUCUGUUGGGAAAUUACAGACCCGAAGAAUUUGAGCAAUUGUGGCAGAACAUGGUGGAAGAGCUUGGUCUUCAAAAUAAUGAUUGGGUUAAGAAGAUAUACUCAAAACGAGAGAGAUGGGCAGAAGCAUUCUUACGGGGUCAUUUCUUUGGUGGCAUGCGCACAACACAGCGUUGUGAGGGUAUGAAUGCAUAUAUGAAUAGAUUUCUUCAAAGAAAGUUGAAGUUGCAUGAAUUUGUUCGUCAAAUUGAUCGAGCCUUGAGACGUACAAGGAAUAACAAUUUAGGACAUAAUUUUAAAACUAAGCAUUCUAUUCCAAUGAUUAGUACUCAUCUUCCAAGCUUGGAGAAGCAUGCUGCAGGGGUUUACACUCAAAAGUUAUUUUACAAGGUUCGUAAACAGAUUUACAAAGAAGGUCAGUUUAUAUUGUUGAGCAAUGUCACUCUUCUAGAUAUUGAAGUGUACACAUUAACUAGGCAUUUAGAAGCCAAAAAGAAGUGGACUGUGGUUUAUUAUCUAAAAGAACAACAUUUUGAGUGCUCCUGUAAGAAGUUCGAAUCUAUUGGAAUACCAUGCCCUCACUUAUUUUGUGUGAUGAAACAUAUGCAUGUUAGUGAGAUACCUGCUUCAUUGAUUAACAAAAGAUGGACUAUGGAUGUGAAAGUUUACAAACAAUCUCUAAUGCCAUUGGAAAGUCAAUCUAAGGAUGUUCUUAACAAUUUUCGGUAUGGGUCAUUAAAUGCCGAAUUCAAUGAAAUUAGUUUUUAUGCCUCAAAAUCUGAUGCUACCUAUUGGAAAUUAAAAAGUCAUCUUGCUCAACUGAAGAGUGAGAUAAAGGAGUUGAGAAUGUGUGACAACGGAGAUACAGAUAGACCAUGCAGUGCAGAAAAGAAAGCAAGAAUUGUAAAAGAUCCUCUAGUUGUGAAGACAAAGGGUGCACCCAGUACGAAAUUUAACAAAGGUGUCAACACAAGAAAAUGUGGAUAUUGCAAACAAGAUGGACAUACUGCACGGAAAUGCCCAAGUAAGAACGGCCAUGUUACAAGUGUGGACAACUUCGCUGGACCAUUAAACAGCUUCACAAAAUUUAUUUGGUAUGGGAAAAUAGGUCAUUAUUUCUAUAAUUUUUUUUUAGUCCAAAUCAAUGUGUUGUAUCAAUAAUUUUGUUCAAAUUUUCUGCAGAUUAUAUCCUAAGGAGGCUACCUCACUUGCGUCAAUGCACACAAAAUUAUCCUAAAAUAAUCUGCAUAUGCCUGAGGGUGUGGAUUUGGACAAGCUAUUUGCAUUUGAAGAAAACACAAUUUUGACCAAGUAUUUUUUAGACUAUAGUUAUGGCCAUGUGAUGUAGUCUUAUAUUUUAAUGCAUUUUUGGUUAUAAUAAUAAUGAAUAUUAUACCUCUCAUGAACCUAUUACUUUCUCCUACUUUGAUGACAAUGAAAUAUGACAGGAACCUCGAACAAUGUAAUAUUCAUGAAAUUUUAAGCUUACAAAAAAGGGCCUAACAAUGACAUUCUAAAUCUUAACACAUCAAUUGAUCUUAUUUCCUAAGAACUGCUACGUGCAUCGAUUAGGUAUCCUAGGACGUUUAUACAUCACUAAUAAACUAGUAAACCAUACCACAGUUACAAUGUAAUACUCUUUCUUACCUUGCUGAUUAGAAACUUCAGCGGCCAAAUGCCAACUACAUCAACUUUUGCUUCCCCAUAGCUGAGUGAAAUUCUUGUAGUUCCUGAAUCCAAAAUACAAGUAAGAGAAAUCAGUGCAGAUGUUUAUUUAUCUUGAAAUUCCUUUGAAACUGAGGCCCAAAGAGAAGCUAGAAUAAACAGUCAUGCAGGUUUUCUAUUUUAGGAAAAAAAAAGGAAAUUCUUUCUGUAGUAUACUUAUUAAGCAAGAUAACAUAAACCAUGAAUUACAAAAGCUGCCAACAAUUAGAAUAGGCGACCAAAUGGAAUUAAAAAUACGGGCACACUGUGUACAGAAAUUCUGCAGGAUACAAGGCCAAUAUAAUUUACGAUUUAUACCAAACUCAAUUGGCCAAACCUAUGGAAUUGGAAUGAUGCAUUUAUUUAACUCAAAAGGUAAAUAUCAGGCUUAAGGUUCUUACAUAUUAAAACAAUAAUAAUUCAUUCAUUUUGAACAUGAGAUGCAACUUGGACUAUUUCAAGUUAUUCCAAAAGAAAGCAUUAAAAGGAAUUUGUUCAUCCUACGUGGUAUAAGUAGUAUAUUUCAGUUAGUAUUAUACAUCAUCAGUUAAAUCAUUUGGACUAUUAACAUUGAUAACAACAAUAAUAAAAUAAACAUAUGUAGUUAUAAAAUAAAUAGAUAAAUUCAACUUCGGAUAAAUUUGGGUUGUUACAGUAACCCUCCAAGCCACCACUGUAUUAUAACCAAUAGACAUUUGAAUUAUAACAGAUAGACAAGAAUAAAAUGAAAGCCAAUAUUAUUCAUGCAGAAUUAAUCUAAUUUAUUUUUCAGUUAAGGUUAGUAACAAUUUAUCUGUAAAUAACUGAACCAACUUGGUUAUUACAACAUUACUUUUUCAAAGCGUUUAGAGCUCAGAAUAUCAAGACAACAAUUUGGUGGUUGGUUAAUUGAGUACCGGAAUCAGAGAUUUUUACUGCAAGAAUGCAAUUGUAAA